rnacentral:rRNA from 1 species
UACGGGGGGGGGCAAGCGUUGUUCGGAAUUACUGGGCGUAAAGGGCUCGUAGGCGGUUUGUCGCGUCGGGAGUGAAAACACCGGGCUUAACUCGGUGCUUGCUUUCGAUACGGGCAGACUAGAGGUAUGCAGGGGAGAACGGAAUUCCUGGUGUAGCGGUGAAAUGCGCAGAUAUCAGGAGGAACACCGGUGGCGAAGGCGGUCUCUGGCGACUACCUGACGCUGAGGAGCG